rnacentral:rRNA from 1 species
UACGGGGGGGGCAAGCGUUGUUCGGAUUUACUGGGCGUAAAGGGCGCGCAGGCGGCUCAUUUUGUCAGGCGUGAAAGCCCCGGGCUUAACCUGGGAAUGGCCAUGGAAACUGGCGAACUGGAGUGCGGCAGAGGGGGGUGGAAUUCCGCGUGUAGCAGUGAAAUGCGUAGAGAUGCGGAGGAACACCGAUGGCGAAGGCAGCCCCCUGGGCUAGCACUGACGCUCAGGCACGAAAGCGUGGGGAGCAAACAGG